rnacentral:rRNA from 1 species
GUGCCAGCCGCCGCGGUAAUACGUAGGGUGCAAGCGUUAAUCGGAAUUACUGGGCGUAAAGCGUGCGCAGGCGGUGAUGUAAGACAGAGGUGAAAUCCCCGGGCUCAACCUGGGAACUGCCUUUGUGACUGCAUCGCUGGAGUGCGGCAGAGGGGGAUGGAAUUCCGCGUGUAGCAGUGAAAUGCGUAGAUAUGCGGAGGAACACCGAUGGCGAAGGCAAUCCCCUGGGCCUGCACUGACGCUCAUGCACGAAAGCGUGGGGAGCAAACAGGAUUAGAUACCCUGGUAGUCCACGCCCUAAACGAUGUCAACUGGUUGUUGGGUUUUAAUUAACUCAGUAACGAAGCUAACGCGUGAAGUUGACCGCCUGGGGAGUACGGCCGCAAGGUUGAAACUCAAAUAAAUUGACGG